GGGUGACACAGUGACAGAGUGAGGGAGCGGGUGACACAGUGACAGAGUUAGGGAGGGAGUGACUAGUGACAGAGAGAGGGAUGGGGUGACUAGUGACAGUCACCCCCCUCACUCUGUCACCAGUCAUCCCCUCACUCUGUCACUAGUCACCCCUUCCCUCCCUCACUUUGCCACUAGUCAUCUCUUCCCUCCCUCACUCUGCCACUAGUCACCCAUUCCCUCACUCUGUCACUAGUCAUCCC